rnacentral:lncRNA from 10 species
GAAAAGAUGAAAUGAUGAGAUGAAAUGAAAUCAUGAGAUGAAAUGAUGAGAUGAAGUGAAAUGAUGAAAUGAAACGAAAUGUUGAGAUGAAAUGAUGAAAUGAAAUGAAAGAAUGAAAUGAAAUGAUAAAAUGAUGAGAUGAAAUGAUGAAAUGAAAGGAUGAAAUGAAAUGAUAAAACGAGGAAAUGAGAUGAAAUGAUGAAAUGAAAGGAUGAAAUCAAAUGAUGAAAUGAGGAAAUGAAAUGAAACGAGGAAAUGAAAUGAAAUAAUGAAAUGAAAUGAUGAAAUAGAUGAACCAAAAAUACUUAUUCAUUUUUUUUCUUUGCAUCCUUCUAAGAGUAUUUUAGUGAGGUUAAUUUCUAAAAAUAAAUUGCUAUUCAAUGACUAUACAGUUGGCCUUUGCACCACAGGGGUUUGAACUGUGCACGUCCACUUAGCAAAACCAACAAUUCUACAUCCUUCUCCACACCCUGCCCAUGAAAAGGAUGAGGAUGAAGACCUGUUUGAUCAUCUACUUCCAUUUAAUAACUACGGUGCUGAUGCCUAAUAAACUCAACCCCUUGCAUGCCAAAAUUGGCUUAAAGCCCAUCUGUUACCCAAGCUACACUUCAAGCAUCAAGGUUCAAAAAUGUGAUUUUAAAUAUGCAAGAGUUUGAGGAAUUCACUACUCACACUUUCUUGAACAGUCUAUCCAAGUGCAUCAAGCAAAACGUAAGUAAAGAAAUUUUGACCAAAGGAUUGAUAGUAAUGUUGAAUACAUUUAAUAGUAGAUCUAAGAUUAAAAGGUGAAAUUGAGGGUGAGAAGAGUGUAUGAAUGCUUUGUGUUCUGACAAAGAGAAUGUAGCACCCAGGUCCUACCUGCUUGGAUGCAUUGCCAGUGCCCACGGUAGGCCAUUUUAUCCAGGUUUUUAGGUUUUGAUUUGUUUUGUUUUGUUUUGUUUUUUUCUUUUCAGGAUAGUUAGUCCAAGACCAAUAACUCCAUAACUGGUAGAUUUGGAAGACUUUAAUAGUGCUUAACAUUUUGUACAUAGCUUUAUAACAGUUUUCUUUUUCUUUUUUUCUGAGAGAUUCUUUUCAAUAUACCCCAUCAUGGUUGAACUCAAAAAUCAUUGCUUAUUUAAAAUCUACAACUGCUGACGUUUUGUAACGUUCGCAUUCCAGACGCAACAGAGAAAUGCAUAAUGUCCAGUCAAUUUAUUAAAGUUCCAAAGUCGGUCGCGUGCGGUGGCUCACGCCUGUAAUCUCAACACUUCGGGAGGCCGAGGCGUGUGGAUCACGAGGUCAGGAGUUGGAGACUAGCCUGACCAACAUGGUGAAACCCCGUCUCUACUAAAAAUACAAAAAUUAGCCAGGCAUGGUUGCACGCGGCUGUAAUCCCCGCUACUCAGGAGGCUGAGGCAGGAGAAUUGCUUGAACCAGGGACGCAGAGGUUGCAGUGAGCAGAGAUGGCGCCACCACACUCCAGCCUGGGAGAAAGAGUGAGACUGCUUCUCAAAAAAAGAAAAAGUUGCAAAGUCAUACCUUUCUGCUCUUGUCAGGCAAUUAAGGGGUUUUUGAAUACUUCAGCCCUAACAAUUUGCUUCCUAACAUACAUAUUGCAGUGCUUAUCUAAUUUUAAAUAUCUUUUUGUUUCAACACCUAAUUUUUUAUUUAGAUCUAUCUGUAUGUUUACAAUAUAUUUUGCUCUGUGUUCAUUCUUUGAUUUCAGAACUUCAAUCUUUCUGAAGCAUGUUUUCAGAGUUUCUUUUUAGUUUCAUUAGUGGAAUUCUGCUGGUGGCGUUUUGUUUUUUGUCUCUAAAUAUGUUAUUUAGCCAUAGGUUGAUGAAUAUUUUUCUUGGUUGAGAAUUUCAGAAUGGCAUUAUUAUUCUUAACAAAUAAUAUUGUUUAUUUUACCUUUCAUGCUUUCAGAUUUCAAUAUGAUUAAAGGUAAUUUGAUUUUUCUAGUGCUCAUUGAAAUAUUUUUCCCUUCCUGAUUGUUUACUAUUUCUCUACGAGAUAUGUAGAUGUAGGUUUAUCUCCAUUGUAGCUUGCUUAGCAUGCAUAGAAUUUUUGAAUACACGGAUUAGUGUCUUACAAAAGUCUAGAGAAAUUUCAGCCAAAAUACCAUCACAUAUUGUCCCUUCCCGGUUCCCUUCUUCUAUGAGAACACUCACUAAACACAUGCUACACUUUCUCACUGUAUCUUCCAUGUCUCUUCAUGAUUCUGUCCACAUUGUGCAUUUUUAAAAAUUUUCUGUAAUGCAUUCUGAAAUAUUUAUGAACUCUCACCAUGGCCAUGUCUAAUCUGAUGAGUUCAUUUUUGAGUUUUUAAUUUAAAAUACUAUAUACAAACUACUUUUCAAAUUUGCAACAUCAAUUUUUUAGUCUCCUAAAAAUAUAUUCAUUUUUUAAAAAAUUUUUUGAAAGCAAAUGUGCUUUAUAAUCUAACAGUGAUAUUUCUACUAAUGAACCUUUGUGGAUCUGUUUGUACUCUUUUUCUAUUUUCCUUUCAAAUGGUGGAAUAUCAUUUCCUUGUGUACUUAGAUGCCUUUGAAUGACAAAGAUUUAUUUUUCUCUGAAAAUUAUUAUUGUGCACUUUUGCAUAUUAGUAAGAAGAAAAUUUGCCAAAGAGAAUUUGAAUUUUUUGUGAGUCUACUAAAGGCACCACCAUUCUGGGACCACAUUAUAUUAAUUCUUGGCCUAAAGGUGUUUGGACGUAUGUUUGGACAGCACAUUUAAACAAUUUUUAAAUUAAUUGCUGUAAAUCAUUAAUGAUUGAGUUUCUUUAAAUCUGUCCAAUCUCAAGUCAUUUUUAUUUGCCAUUUCCAGGGAAUGUGAAAUCGGACUAAUUUACCUCUGAUUCUUCUUUAUACUGAGGAUGUAAAUUUUGGUCCUAGCUUUAGGGAGGAGCUCCUGUGUGAUGCCCUAUCUUGGGAAAAACUAUGUAUUUCUUUACUGUCCUAUGUGAUGUAUGACAGUAGGAAUCUGCACUCAUUCAUUUUGCUACAUGUCCCUAGGGCAAAAUCAGUUUCAGUGUUUAGGUGUAUUUUGUCUGCUCCCUGCAUUCCCAUGGUUUUGACCUUAUAUUUUACUUUUUUUUUUUGUGAACAUAUCACUGCUUCAACUUUUUCCAGUAAUAUAAUCAAUUAUACUAUAAGAAAGAGAAAAAUUUUGAUAAAACACAAAUUUCAUGUUUUCCUACUCUAAAUGGCUUUUACGUAAAAAUACAGGUAAAAUUUAUUUGUGCUUUUUUGCUAUUUCUGUUUUGCUAUUCUCUGUUUGUCUAUGUCUUCGCCACAUAGACACAAUUAGGGAAUUUUGUACACUCUUGUGCCAACUGCUUUGAUAGUAACAAAAUGUAUUUCUCGAACUCCUAGGUAUAAAACUCAAGUAUCCACAAUUUAAAUACUUUUUUGCUCACUUCUAUUAUGUUUCCAGUCUCAAUAGAAAUCGAUGCCAAUCCAGAAAUACAAGCAUUAUUCUAAUACUUCUCACACAUUACUGAUAUAGAUUAAAUUUUCUAGAUCUCCUUAAAUACUAUCAUUUUUCACUUAUUGUAUCUUAACUGUUAAGUUCAACAUUUUCUAUAAUAUUAAUAUAUGUGAAAAUUUCCUUACUUUCUUAUUUGUCCCAGGUUCAAUGUUUUGCAGUCUCUACCUCACCCUGUGAAGCAUAAACAUUGUACAUGCUGUACAAAUAAUACAUCGUUCAUGUACUUAGAGAUUGCACAAUUUUUAUUUGGUUGACAAUAGCUAAUGUUUUCUUCUUCAUUUUCUAUUUCCUGAUUUUUCUUUAUUUAGUAUAUACUACACUAUCAUAAAAAUAAGGACGUUUUACAAACUAAAGCAAUAGCAACCCUAGGAAUAAAAUGCACAAAUAAAAUAUAUAAACAUACAUUUAGAUGUACCACGUAACCUUGUAAUUUAUUUAGACAUUUAAUUUUAGUAAAAUUUUAAUUAAAGUCUGUGUAUUAUGUGUCAUCGUCUUAGUAUUUUUUAUAUAACAAAUUUUGUAAAUCAAAAAGUCUCAAUGUCAUUAUAAACUAUCUUGGCAGAGGAUGAUCUCAAAGGAAUAAUUUCUCUCCCAAAUUACGCCAAUCAGAAUUUCAGUCUACCAUAAUUCUUUUAAUCAGUUUCAGAGGAAUAAUAAAUUUCAAAAUUGUUCAAGGUACUUCUUUUAUUUCAAGUACCUUUUGACUUGUAAAUUCUACAGGUGUAAAACUGUAGACAGACUGAUACAAACAUAUUCUAAUUCACUCAAAAUUAUAUGGACCUAUUUUAAAAUCUAGAUUUUAAAAUGUCGUGUCAACAUACACAUGUUCUCCUUGUGAAAUAAUUGCUUUUUAUUCUCUGGAUAGAAUAAUUUAAUCUUUAAACAAUUCACUGUUAGAAAUGAAAUAUUACAUAAGGAUAUGCUUAUAAAAAUAAUUCCCAACUAGCUUUUCAAUUCAGAAAUAUAUGUGAAAAAUCGUCAAACAUCUAAUGGAUUUCAAGGAGAAAUGGGUUAGUAAUUUAUUCCAUAUGUCUCAAUUUUUCCUAGACUCAAGGCUUCCUUUAAAAUAAUUGUAGGCAUUUAAGAAACCAUGUAAACUAAGAAGAAAUUGUGACACUGCCGCUUAGGCUUUUUAAAUCUUUGGACAUGAUUCAAUAUAUUUUUUAAAUUGUAUCUUAAUUAGACAUGGUGAGUUCACCAUCUUCCUGUCAGUAUAGCAUCCAAGCUGAUUAUGAUAGAUUAGAAGUUCAACUAUCAACUGUGUUCUGAGAGUCUAAAAAAAUAAAUGAACAUAUUUGUUUGGGUAUUCUUAAAGCAGGAGUGAGGACACAGUGAAAGUGAGACAAGGAAAAGAGAACAAAAUAAAACAGGAAAGAUAGAAAAGCCAAUAACACACGUGUUAAGAGUAACAAGCUCCCGUGCUGCUAGAGAAAGUCCUCAGCUAGAAACUGGUGCAAAUUCUGGAGAUGAGACCUUGUAGAGUGUUAAGAAUGGUUUUCUUCCCAGCAGCUACAGGUAAGGAAUAGGGGCUGGGCUAUUAAUACAUCUGCUACAAACCAAUAAAGCCCUUAUGCUCCUUUUGGUGAUCGACAAUGUAUUUAAAAAUAUUAGAUGAUCAAGAAGGGCUGCAGAAAAGAGGAAACAGAAACAAACAGCACACCUCUUGGUUUAUUUUUAUUCAUUUCAUCAGUUUCAAGGAAAAUGUGUUGGGAGUUCCUGGCAUAGACAAUGUCACAAAGACAUAUUUUCAAUAGUAGUGCUAUCCCUAGGGCAGAGAAGACCCAGAGAAAGCCCAAGUGGCUGCUGGAACAAAGUCAGACACCGUGCCACCUGUCCACACUCCUUGGCUCUGCCAUCAUACUGAAGAUCGCUUUAAAGGACUGGCUUCCCUCCCCCCAAAAUUAAACGAGCACAGACU